GGCUUGGUGGUCUAGUGGUAUGAUUCUCGCUUAGGGUACACCCGAAAGCAAAAAAGAUGCGAGAGGUCCCGGGUUCAAUCCCCGGCCAAGCCC